AAAUUAAUAAUUAUUAUUUUUUAAAAGUAAUUAGUUUUAUUUUAACGAAAAAAAUUUAUAUUUUUAUUAAUUUAUGUGAAUUAAUUAAAUAUUAUUAUAGCAAAUUUGUAUUGUGAAAGAUCUUAUUUAAUUUGAUUUAAAGAAUAAUUGAUUUUUAGUACCUUGUGUAUCAGGGUUUAUUAAUUAAAAUUUAUUAUUAAUAAAUUUCUCGAAUUUAAAAGAGUUAUGAUCUUAUAUUUUUUAUUGUUGAAUAAAUAUUAUAAAUAAGAUUAUAGAGGCGAAACACUAUACGAUUUUAAAUAUAUCUAGUUUCUAAUGAAAAAAAUUUAAUUUUUCUUUUAUUUUAUUAUCAAUUUUAUUUUUUAAAUUGAUAUUAAUAAAAUUUUAUAUUUUAGGGGAUGAGCUUUAAAAUAAAAUAAUAUAAGUAGUAUUCAAUAUAUUUAAUAAGUAGAAUUAUAAGUUUUUAUCUUUAAUAGUGUUUUAUUACUAGUUAAAUAAAUAAUAUUUUUUGUAUUUACUUUAUGUAUUUUAUUUAGAUAAUAAUUUAAAUUUUCUAAAUUAUGUAAUAAUGGUAAAAUUAGUAUAAAUUUUUGUAAUAUAUAUAUAUAUAUAUAAGGUUUUAUAAAGGAAUUCGGCAAAUAUAUUUUUCACCUGUUUAUCAAAAACAUGGCUUUUUGUUAAUAAUUUAAAGUUUGGCCUGCCCACUGAUUUUUAAAUGGCUGCAGUAUCCUGACUGUGCAAAGGUAGCAUAAUCAUUAGUUUUUUAAUUGAAAGCUUGUAUGAAAGGUCUGAUGAGAAAAUAACUGUCUCUAUAAAAAUUAUUUAGAAUUUUAUUUUUAAGUAAAAAAGCUUAAAUAUUAAUAGAAGACGAGAAGACCCUAUAGAGUUUUAUAUUUAUUUAAUUUGAAAUUUUUAGUAUUUUAACUUUUUUUUUAUUGUAAUAUUUGGUUGGGGUGAUCGAAAAAUUAGAUAAACUUUUUUUUUAUUAUUACAUUAAUUUAUGAUAAAAUGAUCCUUAUUUAGAGAUUAAAAGAUUAAAUUACCUUAGGGAUAACAGCGUAAUUUUUUUUGAGAGCCCAAAUCGAAAGAAAAGAUUGCGACCUCGAUGUUGGAUUAAAUUAAAUUUUUGGUGUAGGAGCUAAAAUAAUUAGGUCUGUUCGACCUUUAAAAUUUUACAUGAUCUGAGUUCAAACCGGUGUAAGCC
rnacentral:rRNA from 1 species